rnacentral:sRNA from 1 species
GUUCGCACUAAAGCACCUAUAAACCACAGGGUGAACUGGCCCGAAUUUCCAAGCCUCGAAAAAUCCGUUUACAAGGGGGCGCCCUUUAUCCACAAGAAAGCGACCGUGCGCGAAGUAAAGAAGCUUUUGGAGCGCUAGGUUGCUUAUCGGAAUGUCUAGCGCCGCAGCCUUAUCGAGGAGCAGGUUGGCAACUGCGCGCGCGUCAACCGACUGAGGGUCUUGAGUCAGCGGAGGCAUGAAUCCAACCUCAUUGAGCCCCCCUCACGGCAAGCCAGGCUCGCCUUAGAAAUUCGCGAGUCGCAAAAUAGAACAUAAUGCGAACUCUCAUGCCGUCCAACCCGAUCGUCUCUCAAAAUCGUCACCCAUACUCAAUCCUUAAUGUUCAUGGUUAAGGAAGGUUGAGGAAUUUUGCGUGAGAGACAGCACUGCGAGUGCGCCCCUACAUCUCACGGCGAGACGAUCGCUG